GUGAACUUGUACUUAAUAUAAGUGCGUCCAAUUUUUAUAAUCAAAAUUUGGGGUGUAUUACAUUCUUUGUUUUUGGCAUCCUCAUCCUCCUUUGCCAAGCAGUUUCUCUGGUCACACUUGCUUUACAUUUUUUUGAGUUGUACCUUCUUUAUAGUUCUUUCCACAUCUUACACUCUCAUUCAUUUUUGAUAUCCUGUGA
rnacentral:lncRNA from 1 species